AUUGAACGCUGGCGGCAUGCCUUACACAUGCAAGUCGAACGGCAGCAUGGAGAGCUUGCUCUCUGAUGGCGAGUGGCGAACGGGUGAGUAAUGCAUCGGAACGUACCGUGUAAUGGGGGAUAACGUAGCGAAAGUUACGCUAAUACCGCAUACGACCUGAGGGUGAAAGCAGGGGAUCGCAAGACCUUGCGUUAUACGAGCGGCCGAUGUCAGAUUAGCUAGUUGGUGAGGUAAAGGCUCACCAAGGCGACGAUCUGUAGCGGGUCUGAGAGGAUGAUCCGCCGCACUGGGACUGAGACACGGCCCAGACUCCUACGGGAGGCAGCAGUGGGGAAUUUUGGACAAUGGGGGCAACCCUGAUCCAGCCAUGCCGCGUGAGUGAAGAAGGCCUUCGGGUUGUAAAGCUCUUUCGGCCUGGAAGAAAUCGCACAGGCUAAUACUCUGUGUGGAUGACGGUACCGGCAUAAGAAGCACCGGCUAACUACGUGCCAGCAGCCGCAGUAA
rnacentral:rRNA from 1 species